CCCCUCCUCUCGCCGGGCUCCGCUCGCCGGCCGCCCAGGCGCCCACAGCCGCCGUCGUCACUCCAGGUCCUCAGUGCGGCUGGCCUGCUGCGCCUCCCUCAACGCAGGACGGCCUCAAGGCUCAAGCCCUCAACUGCAUCAGUCUCACCGGCUUCCCCAACCUCCUGUUGAACAAAUCAGCAAGAGGGAGUAUGAUGCUACGCACGAGUAAAAGCAGCAGGCUGCUGGCGUAAUUGUCCUGACAUUGGAGAGUCGAGAUCUAGGUCAAAAUUACAUUGUUAUAUUUUUCUACAUCAAGUAUACCAGCUGCUACCACACGCGAACAUAGAGCAUCAGUGCAUCACUUCAGUUAGAGAGGCGAGAUGAGCAGUACAACACUUCAGCUAGACAGGUAUGUUGUCUUCACCGGUGGUAGGAGAUGGCCUCACUGCUCUGUUCUGGGAGGACCGCUGGCUGCAUGGGCAGUCUAUACGCGAGCUCGUGCCCUUGCUAUACCUAUGCAUUCCCAAGAACAGAAGAAGAGCGCGGACGGUGGCGGAAGGCAUCGCCGACAAUGCCUGGGCUCGAGACAUUCGCGGCGUAGUGGGCCUGCAAGAGAUCGGCCAAUACCUGAGGACAUGGCAGCUUGUGGCACGCACUAUACUGUCCACUGAGCCGGACAAGCUCGUUUGGAAAUGGACGGCCAACGGCGUCUACUCGGCGAGGUCUUGCUAUCGGGCAACCUUCCACGGAUCAUUGACAUGCCAUUCAUGGCAGCUCAUCUGGAAGGGAUGGGCCCCAUCGAAGGUCAAGUUCUUUCACUGGCUAGCGAACCUGGACCGAGGCAAGGCUCGCUCGCCGCGGCCUUCCUCAUCACACCCGUUGCCUGCUAUGCGACCAAGAGCCGGAGACCAUCCAACACCUGCUGCUCACCUGCCCUUUUGCGCGGCAAGCCUGGCACGAGGCCCUAUCCUGGCUGCGUCUACCGGCCCCGUUGCCGGAGCAAGAUGCCUCCAUCCAGGACUGGUGGAUGAGGGCGAGGGAUGCCACACCACCAUCGCUCCGCAAGGCGUUGAGGUCUGCCGCGCUGCUGGUGCCCUGGAUGAUAUGGAAGCAUAGGAAUACGUGUCUUCGACCAUAUGACUCCGUCGCUUGACGAGCUCUUGGAUAGGAUCAAGGAUGAGAUGAGGUGCUGGGCUAGAGCCGGGGACAAAGGGCUUAGGGUAGUCUUGCCCCCAUCCUGGGAUGUCCACUAAACCCCCUGUAACAAUGAUGUAACCACCUCUUAGGAGGCUGUAAUCUCCCUUCUUUUCAAUACAAAGAAACGCAAGGCUCUUUGCGUUUUCUCGAAAAA